rnacentral:rRNA from 1 species
CACGUAGGCGGAUCUUUAAGUCAGGGGUGAAAUCCCGGAGCUCAACUCCGGAACUGCCUUUGAUACUGGGGAUCUUGAGUUCGAGAGAGGUGAGUGGAACUGCGAGUGUAGAGGUGAAAUUCGUAGAUAUUCGCAAGAACACCAGUGGCGAAGGCGGCUCACUGGCUCGAUACUGACGCUGAGGUGCGAAAGCGUGGGGAGCAAACA